rnacentral:rRNA from 1 species
UACGAAGGGUGCAAACGUUGCUCGGAAUUAUUGGGCGUAAAGCGCACGUAGGCGGCUUGGCAAGUCGGAUGUGAAAUCCCUCGGCUUAACCGGGGAACUGCGUCCGAUACUGGAAGGCUUGAAUCCGGGAGAGGGAUGCGGAUCCAGGUGUAGCGGUGAAAUGCGCAGAUAUCAGGAGGAACACCAGUGGCGGAAGGCGGUUCUGCUGGGCAUUACCUGACGCUGAGGAGCGGAAAGUGUGGGGAGCGAACAGG